ACCUUGAAAAACAUCCUUCUCAAGCAGAUUCCUCAACCGAUCACGGUGUAUGGGGGUCUCCUCCACAUCAUGAACAGUAACAGGUGCAGCCUUGAGAUCUGUGUGGACUCUUGGCCAAACUUCAACACUGUCAUCUGUAGACGUCAAAACAAGGACCUGACAGGCCAUCCAGUUCAGUUCCCUAAUCUGUGCACGAUGUUCACGAAGGAUCUUGAGAAUCUGCGGGCGACGCUGAUGGAUGACAGGGUGAUAGACUGGACACAAGACACCAUUGUGAGAGGUUCUGUAGCUCAUUAAGUGAUCAUAAUGAUCCACAAUGUAUAGUAAUGAACUGAAACCAACCACUCGCACACAUUCACACAAGACUCAUGAACAGACUGCAACUGUACUGCCCAG